UUGAGCGCCAGCAAACAACAAUUAACCAAGCGAAAAGCCAGCAACAAACAAAUAAAAUGAGUUCGCUAAACGGAAAAUUCAUUUGCGCAUAUGGAAUGCUGCACACAUAGAUAUAUAUAGCCCUGCAUACAAGCAUAUAUAUAGAUAUAUACGUAUAUGUUAUACACACACAAAUCUACAUAAAAUCUAAGUGCAAACCAAUUGUGAUUUAAGCUAAUGACCACAACCACAAAACAGCUCCAACAACCUACAAGAAAGUGUAUAAAAAAUCCAACAAAAUAACUAAAGAACAAGAACUCUUUUCUUAU
rnacentral:sRNA from 1 species